UACGGGGGGGGCAAGCGUUGUUCGGAAUUACUGGGCGUAAAGGGCUCGUAGGCGGCCAACUAAGUCAGACGUGAAAUCCCUCGGCUUAACCGGGGAACUGCGUCUGAUACUGGAUGGCUUGAGUGUGGGAGAGGAAUGCGGAAUUCCAGGUGUAGCGGUGAAAUGCGUAGAUAUCAGGAGGAAUACCGGUGGUGUAGACGGCUCUCUGGACCGCCACUGACGCUGAGACACGAAAGCGUGGGUAGCAAACAGG
rnacentral:rRNA from 1 species